CGUACACUCCUGCGGGAGGCAGCAGUGGGGAAUCUUGCGCAAUGGGCGAAAGCCUGACGCAGCCAUGCCGCGUGAAUGAUGAAGGUCUUAGGAUUGUAAAAUUCUUUCACCGGGGACGAUAAUGACGGUACCCGGAGAAGAAGCCCCGGCUAACUUCGUGCCAGCAGCCGCGGUAAUACGAAGGGGACUAGCGUUGCUCGGAAUUACUGGGCGUAAAGGGAGCGUAGGCGGACAUUUAAGUCAGGGGUGAAAUCCCGGGGCUCAACCUCGGAAUUGCCUUUGAUACUGGGUGUCUUGAGUAUGAGAGAGGUGUGUGGAACUCCGAGUGUAGAGGUGAAAUUCGUAGAUAUUCGGAAGAACACCAGUGGCGAAGGCGACACACUGGCUCAUUACUGACGCUGAGGCUCGAAAGCGUGGGGAGCAAACAGGAUUAGAAACCCUUGUAGUCCCAUGA
rnacentral:rRNA from 1 species